CUAAGAAAAAGAAUGAAGUAGAUCAGUGACAUUUCACAUCUAAUCAAGAAAUUAAUAAUAGUUCAAAAAUCACAGUUCAUACACAACCUAGAAAAUUAUGAUAUUCGUUUCAUUUGACAUUUUGACUAUUGAAGAAGUAUAGAGAGAAUUUUAUAUUUAGGAGAUUCUACUUGGUCCUGCUGAUGACUGUAGCAUACUUUUCAUGACUAUUGGCUUGUGAUGAACAAUAAGAUGGAUAAGAAAACGAUAUUGAGAACCGGAUUGAAAAAAUUCAAAAAUACCUGGAGUAAAAAGAAGAAUUUGAAGAGAAUUGUUGAAAUCAGGAAUUUUAUGAGGGCGCUUAUAGAAGAACGAAAACUAAAAACUCCUUGUUUAAAUAUGAAGAAUCCAUGAUUUUUCCUGACAUAAAAGAAGAUAGAAAAGUUUUGAAGACGAGAUGGACAGGAAACAGGUCUUUAGAACGGGAUUGAAAAAAUUGAAGUCUAAGCAAAAUAACCUGAGGAGAACAGUUCAAAUCCGGAAUUUAUUGAAGUCACUUGCAGGAGAACGAAAGCAAGGAAAUCUUUCUCAGAAUUCGAAAACCUCCGAAACUUGUGCUGAAAUUAGAGAAGUUAAUCAAGAUAAUCGUGAACAGAAAGAUAUAAUCACGCAAAAAUCAAAUUCCGAUGUUGGCGAAAAAAAGCCGGAUGUGUCGAACGGAAAUCUAAGGAAACGUUUGACGAGGUCUUUUAUUCUGAAGGAGAUUCUGAACAUGACAUCUAUCAGAAGAAAACAAGAUCUUAAUUACAAACUUUUUAAACAAGACGAGUACAUUAAGAUCAAGAAGAAGGCGACACCUAUAAAAACAAAACGUUUUGUAGGAUUUGUGACACCAUCCCGCGCUUUAUGAACAA